rnacentral:lncRNA from 1 species
AUACACAAAUCCUAUAGGCUGCUGCAGCUGCUGCAGAAGGGCAGCCAGGCAGCUGGAAGCUGCAGACAGAAUGAGGUCACCCUGCCCCCUCACAGCAUCAUCCUCACGGAGCUGGGGCUGUACCCAAGGGGCAGGGAGCUCGCCAGGAAGCAGAAUGGGAGAACAGGACACCUAAAUUCAGAAGACGAGCUGCAAAUGUUAUGAUGUGAACUGGACCAUCAGGAGCAAAGCCACCACAGCACUCUCAACCCAUGAGUCAGCAAACCCCUGCCUCUCUUCUCUCUGCUGACUCAGACAAAUCUUAGAAGGGGACGAGCCCAGAACUGCAUGACGUGAUCUUUCCUUGCAUCUCCCUGGCAAUUACCCACUUACCACCGCACUGUCAGCAAUUGUGGCCAUUGGGCCAGACAAGAAACAAUAAAAAAGAUGUCUGGGGAAAAAGCUGAGUGCACAAAGUGUCCCAGAAGACCCCGAGCGUUUAGAGUACCUGUGCCAAGAGGCUGCUAUGCAUGAAAAAUAAUUGUGCGAUGGGUCAGAGCUUGUUUACUUCCUCUUGUAGACAACACAGGAGAAAAUGGGACCCUGAAGAGAAACCGGCCCUGAAUGCAAGGCUAAAUGAUUAGCAGGACUAGAUCAUCAACUAUUAACCCUGUCCUGAGGCUCUUGGCUGGUGUUAUACAUCAUGCCCAUCUAAAGAAUCUGGUCUGAGCCCCAUCCCACCUCCGGCCAUGCCAGUGAGGAGACCCUCACUUUCCCACUGCUGAGUUUCAGACCCUUCCAGCAGCCCGGACAUCCUCCCCUCCACAGCUUUGCAUAUGGUGGGGCUGGGCUGGCUUGUGGUCUGCAUGGCUGAGCUGACUCCUCUGGCUGAAUUUGCCUGAAGCAAGAGAGGAAGCACAGACAAAUUGAUCUCUCAGAAGAGAUGCCUCUGGAAUCCCCCUUUUCCAACAACAGUUAAUGUUUAAAAGGGAACUUUAUAGGCAUUAACAAGAUGUUUAUUAAUUUGGAAAGAAAAUAUCAGCUUUUUGUCUUCUAACUACAAGCAAGCCACCAAAUUACUACACAAGCACUUCACAACACAGCCAAAGAUUUCCACUUUCUCUCCAGUGAUGAAUUGAUUUUGUCUCAGAUUGAGCCCACAGUCAAAACAAAAUGACCAGGACUCGCUCCAAGUCCCCACAGUGAUCAGGAAUAAAGCAAAACCUGGCCAGCAGACAACCCAAGGUGGGCACUGCCAACCAGGCCAGGCUGAGCAGGAGAGGAAGGUUUCCUCCUCAACCCCAGAUCUGCCCAUUAAGUGCAAGGAGCACGCGAACAAAUAUCCCUCUCCAUAUCUCAGUUAUGUUUAUCCAUAAAGCAUUGGGC